rnacentral:rRNA from 1 species
UGGGGAAUAUUGGACAAUGGGGGCAACCCUGAUCCAGCAAUGCCGCGUGUGUGAAGAAGGUCUUCGGAUUGUAAAGCACUUUUGGCAGGGACGAUGAUGACGGUACCUGCAGAAUAAGCCCCGGCUAACUUCGUGCCAGCAGCCGCGGUAAUACGAAGGGGGCUAGCGUUGCUCGGAAUGACUGGGCGUAAAGGGCGCGUAGGCGGUUUAUACAGUCAGAUGUGAAAUUCCUGGGCUCAACCUGGGGACUGCAUUUGAGACGUGUAGACUUGAGUGGAGAAGAGGGUUGUGGAAUUUCCAGUGUAGAGGUGAAAUUCGUAGAUAUUGGAAAGAACACCGGUGGCGAAGGCGGCAACCUGGUCUUCAACUGACGCUGAGGCGCGAAAGCGUGGGGAGCAAACAGGAUUAGAUACCCCCGUAGUCC